CAGUCGCCGCGGUAACACGAAGGGGGCUAGCGUUGUUCGGAUUUACUGGGCGUAAAGGGCGCGUAGGCGGGCGAAUAAGUCAGGGGUGAAAUCCCAAGGCUCAACCUUGGAACUGCCUUUGAUACUGUUUGUCUUGAGUCCGAGAGAGGUAAGUGGAACUGCGAGUGUAGAGGUGAAAUUCGUAGAUAUUCGCAAGAACACCAGUGGCGAAGGCGGCUUACUGGCUCGAAACUGACGCUGAGGCGCGAAAGCGUGGGGAGCAAACAGGAUUAGAGACCCCGGUAGUCCCUGUCUCUUAUAC
rnacentral:rRNA from 1 species